UACGUAGGUGGCAAGCGUUGUCCGGAUUUAUUGGGUUUAAAGGGUGCGUAGGCGGCCCUGUAAGUCAGUGGUGAAAUACUCUAGCUUAACUAGAGGGGUGCCAAUGAUACUGCAGGGCUUGAGUACAGAUGAGGUAGGCGGAAUUGACGGUGUAGCGGUGAAAUGCAUAGAUAUCGUCAAGAACACCGAUAGCGAAGGCAGCUUACUGGGCUGUAAACUGACGCUGAUGCACGAAAGUGUGGGGAUCAAACAGG
rnacentral:rRNA from 1 species